AGUGGGGAAUAUUGCACAAUGGAGGAAACUCUGAUGCAGCAAUGCCGCGUGGAGGAUGACACUUUUCGGAGCGUAAACUCCUUUUAUAUGAGAAGAUAAUGACGGUAUCAUAUGAAUAAGCACCGGCUAACUUCGUGCCAGCAGCCGCGGUAAUACGAGGGGUGCAAGCGUUACUCGGAAUCACUGGGCGUAAAGAGCAUGUAGGCGGGUAAUUAAGUUGGAAGUGAAAUCCUAUGGCUCAACCAUAGAACUGCUUCCAAAACUGAUUAUCUAGAGUAUGGGAGAGGUAGAUGGAAUUUCUGGUGUAGGGGUAAAAUCCGUAGAGAUCAGAAGGAAUACCGAUUGCGAAGGCGAUCUACUGGAACAUUACUGACGCUCAGAUGCGAAAGCGUGGGGAGCAAACAGGAUUAGAUACCCUGGUAGUCCACGCCCUAAACGAUGUACACUAGUUGUUGCUAUGCUAGACAUAGCAGUAAUGCAGUUAACACAUUAAGUGUACCGCCUGGGGAGUACGGUCGCAAGAUUAAAACUCAAAGGAAUAGACGGGGACCCGCACAAGCGGUGGAGCAUGUGGUUUAAUUCGACGAUACGCGAAGAACCUUACCUGGCCUUGACAUAAUAAGAAUCUUUUAGAGAUAGAAGAGUGCUAGUUUACUAGAGCUUAUAUACAGGUGCUGCACGGCUGUCGUCAGCUCGUGUCGUGAGAUGUUGGGUUAAGUCCCGCAACGAGCGCAACCCACGCCAAUAGUUAAUAACGGUUCGGCCGAUGACUCUAUUGGGACUGCCUUCGUAAGGAGGAGGAAGGUGUGGACGACGUCAAGUCAUCAUGGCCCUUACGGCCAGGGCUACACACGUGCUACAAUGGGGUAUACAAAGAGCAGCGAUACCGCGAGGUGGAGCAAAUCUUAAAAAUAUCUCCCAGUUCGGAUUGUAGUCUGCAACUCGACUACAUGAAGUUGGAAUCGCUAGUAAUCGUAAAUCAGCAAUGUUACGGUGAAUACGU
rnacentral:rRNA from 1 species